CCCUCCUCUUCGAAACAGACUCCAGCUAAACCCGCACGCCUCUCCACCCCAGGCUCGAGCUCGACGCCCACGACGCCGUCCACCUCUGGUAAGGUGAAGUCCCGGUCGCGAAGCAAGUCGCCUUUCCGCAGUUUCCGUUGGCGAACCGCGAAGAAAUUGCUGACUGGAGCCCAC